AUUGAACGCUGGCGGAAUGCUUUACACAUGCAAGUCGAACGGCAGCACGGACCUCGGUCUGGUGGCGAGUGGCGAACGGGUGAGUAAUGUAUCGGAACGUGCCCAGUCGUGGGGGAUAACGCAGUGAAAAUUACGCUAAUACCGCAUACGAUCUAUGGAUGAAAGCGGGGGAUCGCAAGACCUCGCGCGAUUGGAGCGGCCGAUAUCAGAUUAGGUAGUUGGUGGGGUAAAGGCCCACCAAGCCAACGAUCUGUAGCUGGUCUGAGAGGACGACCAGCCACACUGGAACUGAGACACGGUCCAGACUACUACGGGAGGCAGCAGUGGGGAAUUUUGGACAAUGGGCGAAAGCCUGAUCCAGCCAUUCCGCGUGCAGGAUGAAGGCCCUCGGGUUGUAAACUGCUUUUGUACAGAACGAAAAGGUUUCUACUAAUACUAGGAGCUCAUGACAGUACUGUAAGAAUAAGCACCGGCUAACUACGUGCCAGCAGCCGCAGUAA
rnacentral:rRNA from 1 species